AUUGAACGCUGGCGGCAGGCCUAACACAUGCAAGUCGAACGAGUGGCGGACGGGUGAGUAAUGUCUGGGAAACUGCCCGAUGGAGGGGGAUAACUCCUGGAAACGGUAGCUAAUACCGCAUACCAUCUGAUGUGCCCAGAUUGGAUUAGCUAGUGGGUGGGGUAACGGCUCACCUAGGCGACGAUCCCUAGCUGGUCUGAGAGGAUGACCAGCAACACGGGAACUGAGACACGGUGCAGACUCCUACGGGAGGCAGAAGUGGGGAAUAUUGCACAAUGGGCGCAAGCCUGAUGCAGCCAUGCCGCGUGUAUGAAGAAGGCCUUCGGGUUGUAAAGUACUUUCAGCGAGGAGGCGUUACUCGCAGAAGAAGCACCGGCUAACUCCGUGCCAGCAGCCGCGGUAAUUC
rnacentral:rRNA from 1 species